rnacentral:sRNA from 1 species
ACCGGGCAUGGUAGCGCAUGCCUGUAAUCCCAGUGGUUCGGGAGUCUGAGACAGGGGGAUCUGGAGUUCAAAGCCAGCCUCAGCAAAAGUAAGGCACUAAGAAACUCAGUGAGACCCUGUCUCUA